rnacentral:rRNA from 1 species
UACGAAGGGUGCAAGCGUUAGUCGGAAUUACUGGGCGUAAAGGGUGCGUAGGCGGUUAGUUAAGUCUGUUGUGAAAUCCCCGAGCUCAACUUGGGAAUUGCAAUGGAUACUGGCAGGCUGGAGUAUGGUAGAGGAAGGUGGAAUUCCCGGUGUAGCAGUGAAAUGCGUAGAGAUCGGGAGGAACACCAGUGGCGAAGGCGGCCUUCUGGACCAAUACUGACGCUCAUGCACGAAAGCGUGGGGAGCAAACAGG